rnacentral:rRNA from 1 species
AAACCGGCGUGAGCCAGGUCGGUUUCUAUCCUGAGAUAUCUAANAUUCUUAUUAGUACGAAAGGACCAUAAGAGUAAAAUAAUUUUAUUGUCUUUUGAUUACUAUUAAUUUAAGNUUAA